AGCAUCUCAGCAACUUCUUCCUUUUAAGCUGCCUCUUGUGGCCCUUCAAUUUUUGUCCUUUCCCUCCAUCUGCCUGCAUAAGGAUUUAAAGGUGCAGGUGAAGAAAGGGCAAAAUUGAGACUGGUUUGUAAUUUCUGUGCUUGCAGUGAGAGGAAUUUCAGAAAAAUGUUCUUUUAUUUGCUAAAAAAUUUGUUUAAAGGUUUCUGCGAAUCCUCAACCAUGGGGAACAGGCUUUCUAAGGAACAAGAGCAAUGUUUUAAGAUAGUUCAGCAGCUUUUUAGGGCUGCUGAAUGUGUCCCUGAUAAGGGAUCUUUAGACUUAGUUAUUUAGCAAAAAGUCACUCAGGGGAAG